ACAAACCCUGAAUUUCUAUUUCUAUGUCCAACGUUUGACUUUACGUCUUAUAUGAAAUUAUUUUUAUAAUUAAUAUUUUCAUUGUUGUUAGAUGAUAAAAUAUGAUUAAUAUUUUAUACGUAACUUGUCUUUUUAAUUAUUUUUAUAAUUUUUUUAAAUAAGACGGACGGUCAAACGUUGAACAUGGAAACUCAUGAUUUGUCUGAUU
rfam:Oryza glumipatula chromosome 1, whole genome shotgun sequence.